rnacentral:rRNA from 1 species
UGGCGGACGGGUGAGUAACGCGUAUCCAACCUGCCGUCUACUCUUGGACAGCCUUCUGAAAGGAAGAUUAAUACAAGAUGGCAUCAUGAGUCCGCAUGUUCACAUGAUUAAAGGUAUUCCGGUAGACGAUGGGGAUGCGUUCCAUUAGAUAGUAGGCGGGGUAACGGCCCACCUAGUCUUCGAUGGAUAGGGGUUCUGAGAGGAAGGUCCCCCACAUUGGAACUGAGACACGGUCCAAACUCCUACGGGAGGCAGCAUG